AAGAAAGGAGAAAGUGAAGAAGAAUGAAGAGGGGGGAGGAAGGGAGAAUGGGGGUUGAGUUUAGGUUUUGUGUAUCUUGCUUUUACUUUUUGGUAUCAUUUGAAUCUUGUUCAUUUUCUUUAAAACCAAAUUCGAGGAAG
rnacentral:ribozyme from 13 species